rnacentral:rRNA from 1 species
AUGGGAGAAUGCUCUGGUUCUCCGAGCGUUCGUCCCCCCUGGCAAAACGAACAAGCCGAAACCUCCCACAAACUACCACAACGUACGGCCUUCAUCUGCCAUCAGCACCGUAGCGCGGCGGCGGCCUCGUGCACGAGAGAGCCCGUGGCGUGGGCGACGCCGUGCGCCUCCCGCUCGGCGGCCUCCCUGCACGACCCGGACUUGGACAUCCGCUUCACGAACGCCGCGAACCGGCGCCAGUUGUCGGGCUGGAACAGAUCGGGGCCCAUGCGGAGGUAGGUGAAGGCCACCAUCCGGUCCUCCUCGGCGCGCUCCGCGGCGGUGCCCACCACCUGGUCGUGCGCCGUGUCGUCGUACCGGGGCAGCGCGUUCUCGCCGGCCAGGCCGAUGCCCGCGGCGCGGGCGGCCGCGGCCACCUGGCGCACGAGGCCCUCGGGCAUGCACUUCGCGUCCUGGGGCUGCUCGUGGUCGCGCAUCUCCACGCACGUGAAGUUUCCUUCAUCCUCUCAAUUGGCCCAAAGAUGGCCUACCCAUGACGUCCGUCGAUGGUUCCCUCACCUUUGCCGGCGACAGACGUGGCCAUAUUCAGCGCCACCACCUCGCCUCGGCCCUCUUCAUCACCCACUUCGACUACGCUUUGCCGGCGCCGACCCGCUGGACAAGCCCACGACGACCUCCCCUUUAUCCUUUGGCCGUCCUCACCUCACCGAUCUCCAAACGCCGCCGCCUCACUCCGAGCACGACUCCGAUAUCAUCCAGUCCGGUUUUCUUCACCAACACCUUUGGGGUUGCAAGGGCAUUUCCUGCCUUAAGUGUUUUGGUGUUGAUGACAAUGCAAUUUGGGGACUAAUCAUAUACCUAAGCUAUACAGGUAUACUUUAG